rnacentral:rRNA from 1 species
GGUAGAGGACUUACUCUUCGGAGUGAGAGCGUACACAGGUGCUGCAUGGCUGUCGUCAGCUCGUGUCGUGAGAUGUUGGGUAAGUCCCGCAACGAGCGCAACCCUGCAUUCAGUUGCCAUCGGUAAGGCCGGGCACUCUGGAUGGACUGCCGGCGACAAGCCGGAGGAAGGUGGGGACGACGUCAAGUCAUCAUGGCCCUUAUGUCCAGGGCGACACACGUGCUACAAUGGCCGGCACAACGGGAAGCGAAGGGGCGACCCUGAGCGGAUCCCACAAAAGCCGGUCUCAGUUCGGAUUGCAGUCUGCAACUCGACUGCAUGAAGUUGGAAUCGCUAGUAAUCGUGGAUCAGCCAAGCCGCGGUGAAUACGUUCCCGGGCCUU